UGUGGCAGAUUAGUGCGGUAAAUUUAAGAUUUUCAUAAAAAGUAAGCCUUUCUUUAGAA
rnacentral:tRNA from 1 species